rnacentral:rRNA from 1 species
GCUAGCAUAUCAAUAAGCGGAGGAAAAGAAACCAACAGGGAUUGCCCUAGUAACGGCGAGUGAAGCGGCAACAGCUCAAAUUUGAAAUCUGGCUUCCUUUGGGAGUCCGAGUUGUAAUUUGCAGAGGGCGCUUUGGCGUCGGCAGCGGUCUAAGUUCCUUGGAACAGGACGUCACAGAGGGUGAGAAUCCCGUACGUGGUCGCCUGCCUUCGCCGUGUAAAGCCCCUUCGACGAGUCGAGUUGUUUGGGAAUGCAGCUCUAAAUGGGAGGUAAAUUUCUUCUAAAGCUAAAUACUGGCCAGAGACCGAUAGCGCACAAGUAGAGUGAUCGAAAGAUGAAAAGCACUUUGGAAAGAGAGUCAAACAGCACGUGAAAUUGUUGAAAGGGAAGCGCUUGCCGCCAGACUUGCCCGUGGUGGUUCUCCUCCUCGGGCAGGCCAGCAUCAGUUUGGGCGAUCGGAUAAUGGCCUCUGUCAUGUAUCUUCCUUCGGGAUGACCUUAUAGGGGAGUCGUAGUACGGUCAGCCCGGACUGAGGUCCGCGCAUUUGCUAGGAUGCUGGCGUAAUGGCUGCAAGCGGCCCGUCUUGAAACACGGACCAAGGAGUCUAACAUCUAUGCGAGUGUUUGGGUGUCAAGCCCGAGCGCGCAAUGAAAGUGAACGGAGGUGGGAACCCUCUCUGGGGGUGCACCAUCGACCGAUCCUGAAGUCUUCGGAUGGAUUUGAGUAAGAGCAUGGCUGUUGGGACCCGAAAGAUGGUGAACUAUGCUUGAAUAGGGUGAAGCCAGAGGAAACUCUGGUGGAGGCUCGCAGCGGUUCUGACGUGCAAAUCGAUCGUCAAAUUUGGGCAUAGGGGCGAAAGACUAAU